GCAGAGGGACUCUCUAGAGUGGGGACAGUAGCCAAUCAGACUCUAGAAAGGUGCGGAGGGGGUUGAUGGCAGGUGGUUCAGCCUAUAGCCGUGCCAAAUGAGGGCGUUAGGAUGGAUGCGGCGGGGAAAAACCGUGACGCAAAUGCGAGGCAGCGAAUAGGGCGAGAAAGCGCGACGCCGGAGGGAGGGAGCCGCGUCCCAAAGGGAGAGAAGGGAGCAGAGAGGGAGAAUGAAGGCGGGGGCUGAAAUCCGAUGCGCGCUCCUAUUGGUCAGCUGGCAUUGACAGGCAGCCACGCCCCUGCUCGCCUUGUUAACCCUAAACAAAGGCUCUGAUUGGCGGAGGCGCAAAAGGGGCACUGUGACCAAUGGGGGGGGGUGCGGAGCGAAUCCGCAGUUCUGAUUGACCAAGGGGUCCUCUCAGUGGUUUACUUCAAUGGUUGAAAGUGUCUAGAUCUCUGUCCGAUUGGAGGAUCUCCCUUGGUCCCUGCCAUCAUUGGCUGUUCUGCUGGGUUCUGGAGGGGCUGAUGUCUGCAUGGGUCCUUAUUUGCAAAAAGCAAAUAAAAAGAUCGUUAUUAAUCCAUUAAUUAAUUAAUUAAUUAAUUAUGCUUUGUGUUAAUUGCAUUAUCUGUUUAUUGCUGUGCCUCUUUUUCUUAUUACUGCGCCGAUUAAUUUCAUUAUUGCAAUUAUAAUUUUUUAUUGAUGCAAUUACAAUUUUUUAUUGUUAUAGCAACUAUUCCAUUUAAAAAUGAUAAUGUUAGGACGGCUGUUAGUAUUAUCACCAUUAUAAUUGUUGCAAAGAUUAAUUUAAUUUAAAAGCAUACAUUUAGGACAGAAAGUGGUAGUGGUAAUACUGUACAACCAUUAUUAAUUUCAGGAGCCCUCCACCCCGCUGCCAAACACCUCCUGGUCCUGCAAGCUUUAUACUGUACAGGAAACUUUCAAACUAAAGUUUUGGAAUUUUUUAACCCAAGUACCUUUUUAGUGGCUCAAAACAUAUUUUAAUAGAUAAAUCUGCCCUAUUUAUUAAAGUUGCUGCCCUAAUAUGUUUAUAUUUUAUGUCACAGGAAUGGAUGCAUAGUUGCAACAGAUGUUUUUCAGUUUUCUGUACUUCAAAAGCUGGGAAAUCAUAUUCAUUGUAACAUCCAUCUUGCGUAGAUAACUCCAUAGCUGUAACUCUGCAAUAUGUGAAUAAGUCCUUCUUUUUGUCUUUCCUCAUUCAGCUUCAUUGCGUGAGCCCACUGGAUUCUAUGAAAGAGUGAAAGAAACGUAUCUCUAUCCCAGGGGGUUCCCUGCCAUUUUCUCCUGUGGUGCUUGUGAAAGGUCUCAGUGAAUAUCCCCUCCAAAAUCCACAGCGCACCAGAGGCUUUUUUGUUUUUCCUGCUCAGUUUGACCUGGCUCAGUCUCUCCUACAUUGAACAUGCCUACAUUUCGUUGCAUGCCACGCCUCCACAGGUGCGUGAGAGGCUGUGACCGGCUGAGGUCACCCAGGGAACCUCAUGGCGAAAUGGAGAUAUAUAUACUGAUGAGCCCUGCUGUAUCCCCUCGCUCGACAUAAACUCUUGUUGCCUCUUGGUUUCCUCUUCUCUCACAGGCUGAUUUCCCUCCUCAUAAUAGUCUUAGCUGCAUGGCCAAAGAGGGAGGGAGAGGAAAAGCUUUAUGUGUAAGAAAGGAAACAUUAUCGUUAGGAGUUUGGAGGGGUCAGUAUUGAUGAUACCAUGGGUUCCUUCCAAACCUGCAGUCUUGAAGCUCCCAACAGGUAGAAUGUAUAAGAGGAAGCCUGCCAAACCAAUUCCUUUGUCAAGGUAAUUUAGGCUUUGGCUGGCAAGUUAAGUAUGGCAAUUGAAUAUAGCCAAAGAGGUUGCUCAGUUUCUAAAUGGGUGUGUCUUUUUCACCUCACCAGGUGGGAUGCCACCUUAUCCUAGAAUGGGAAAAAAGAAAAACCCAAGGGGCUGUGCAUGGGAAUAUGUGAGAGAGAGCUGGGCUGAUGCUGGAAGCGGGAGACACAGCCUUAUCUUGCUCCGUGCUGGAUCCAAAGCUGGGUUUGGUACUUCUCUGGAAACCUAAAAGAAAAGCAAGUUCUGCUGUGGCAUUAAUGCUGUGAGCCCCUCCAUCCCCUGCACAGGUUGUGCAAAUAAAUCCAUACAUUCUAAAAACACCACAGACUCCACUGACCUUCAUUCCAAGGAAACCAAACCCUGGGGAAAACCACCUGGAACCCCUAGAAUCUCUCAUUCCCCAGAAAUUGGGGUGGCACCUAACAUUAUAAAGCCCCAGUUUACUCUCCUCACCAGGAAAGUGACAGUGAAAGUAGGGAACCUGGAGCGAUACCAUCUCCCUGCUGAAGAACCCUGUGUAAUACCAUAGCUUGCACCUUUACACACA